rnacentral:lncRNA from 1 species
UUAAAUGCGUCCUAGUUGCGGAGACAUGGAGAGAAUUUUCCAAUUGUUUGAAAUAUAUUGCGAAAAUAUAAUGUAAUUCAGUGCAUUCUAGAGUAAUGCUAUUAAAUUCAUAAUUCAUUUAAUUUAAUGUUUGCUUUUAUAGAAUGAGAUGUACUGAAACAUACUUUUAUACAUGUAUUUACUUUCAAUAAUAAUGCCAUUACUUGUAUAUACCAAAC